rnacentral:rRNA from 1 species
GGCUUUUUGAAUAUAAUUUAAGGUCGGGCCUGCCCAAUGAUUAAAUUAAAUGGCCGCGGUAUAUUGACCGUGCAAAGGUAGCAUAAUCAUUAGUUUUUUAAUUGAAAGCUUGUAUGAAAGGUUUAAUGAGAAAAAUACUGUCUCUAUUUAAAUUUAUUAAAAUUUUAUUUUUAAGUAAAAAAGCUUAAAUAUAUAUUGAAGACGAGAAGACCCUAUAGAGUUUUAUAUUUUGUUUGGCAAAUAAUUAUUUAGAAUUUUAAAGAUUUGUUAAACAAAGUAUUUGGUUGGGGUGAUUAAAAAAUUAAUAAAACUUUUUUUGUAUUUUUACAUUGAUAAGUGAGCAAUUGAUCCUUUAUUUAAGAUUAGAAGAUAAAAUUACCUUAGGGAUAACAGCGUAAUUUUUUUUAGAGUUCUUAUCGAAAAGAAAGAUUGCGACCUCGAUGUUGGAUUAAAAUUAAUUAUUGGUGUAGAGGCUAAUAAAUUAGGUCUGUUCGACCUUUAAAUUUUUACAUGAUCUGAGUUUAAACCGGUGUAAG